ACUCCUACGGGAGGCAGCAGUGGGGAAUAUUGCACAAUGGGGAAGCCCAUCGAUGCAGCCAUGCCGCGUGUGUGAAGAAGGCCAAUUCGGGGCUUUGGUUAAAGACACUUUCAGUCGUGAGGAAGGUAGUGUAGUUAAUAGCUGCAUUAUUUGACGUUAGCGACAGAAGAAGCACCGGCUAACUCCGUGCCAGCAGCCGCGGUAAUACGGAGGGUGCGAGCGUUAAUCGGAAUUACUGGGCGUAAAGCGCAUGCAGGUGGUUUGUUAAGUCAGAUGUGAAAGCCCGGGGCUCAACCUCGGAAUUGCAUUUGAAACUGGCAGACUAGAGUACUGUAGAGGGGG
rnacentral:rRNA from 1 species